AUGGACCAGUCCAUCCCUUAUUCCCGUGGCUAUGCAUCAAAGCCGGAUGACGAAGGUCCCGAUGAAGAAGUUGAUGGGGAUGGCACAUUCCUGACCGGGCAAUACAAAGGCACUUUGUUGGUCACAAUAGCGAGUGAUGCCAAUAACCGGGUGUUGCCUUUGGCUUUUGCUUUGGUUGACGUGGAGAACAAUGAUAACUGGGAGUGGUUCUUGCGUCUUUUGAGAACCAAGUGGACAUUGACAUUCCCGGGCAUGCUCCGUUGCACCAUCGAUGGUGCGUGA
rnacentral:rRNA from 1 species